UACGGAGGGAGCUAGCGUUGUUCGGAAUUACUGGGCGUAAAGCGCACGUAGGCGGAUUUGUAAGUCAGGGGUGAAAUCCUGGAGCUCAACUCCAGAACUGCCUUUGAUACUGGCAACCUAGAGACUGGAAGAGGUUAGUGGAAUUCCCAGUGUAGAGGUGAAAUUCGUAGAUAUCGGGAGGAACACCAGUGGCGAAGGCGAUCACCUGGGGAUGUUCUGACGCUGAGGAGCGAAAGCUAGGGGAGCAAACGGG
rnacentral:rRNA from 1 species